UGAGGAAUCUUGCGCAAUGGGCGAAAGCCUGACGCAGCGACACCGCGUGCGGGAAGAAGGCCUUCGGGUCGUAAACCGCUUUUCUGGAGGACGAGCAAGGACGGUACUCCAGGAAUAAGUCCCGGCUAACUACGUGCCAGCAGCCGCGGUAAAACGUAGGGGGCGAGCGUUAUCCGGAAUCACUGGGCGUAAAGGGCGUCUAGGCGGCCGCUUUAGUCGUGCGUGAAAGCUCCCGGCUCAACUGGGAGAGGGCGCACGAUACUGGGCGGCUCGAGACUCAGAGGGGGGUGUGGAAUUCCCGGUGGAGUGGUGAAAUGCGUUGAGAUCGGGAGGAACACCAGUGGCGAAGGCGGCACCCUGGCUGAGGUCUGACGCUGAAGCGCGACAGCGUGGGGAGCAAACGGG
rnacentral:rRNA from 1 species